GCCUAGUUAGCUUAGUUGGUAGUGCGUCUGCCUUGUAAGCGCUAGGUCGCGGGUUCGAUUCCCGCCCGGGGCG
rfam:Asian citrus Psyllid, Diaphorina citri - Florida Strain, whole genome shotgun sequence.